CACGUAGGGGGCAAGCGUUGUCCGGAUUUAUUGGGCGUAAAGAGCUCGUAGGCGGCUCAGUAAGUCAGGUGUGAAACCUCCAGGCUCAACCUGGAGACGCCACCUGAUACUGCUGUGGCUAGAGUCCGGUAGGGGAGCGUGGAAUUCCUGGUGUAGCGGUGAAAUGCGCAGAUAUCAGGAGGAACACCAAUGGGCGAAGGCAGCUCGCUGGGACGGUACUGACACUGGAGACGGCGAAAGCGUGGGGAGCAAACAGG
rnacentral:rRNA from 1 species